GAUAAACGCUGGCGGCGUGCCUAACACAUGCAAGUCGAACGCGCUUCGCAAGAAGCGAGUGGCGGACGGGUGAGGAACACGUGGGUAUCUGCCCUGGGGUGAGGAAUACCAGCGAGAAAUCGCUGACAAUACCGCAUACGUUUCGUCAGAAACAAAGUCGCGAGACGCCACAGGAUGAGCCUGCGUCCGAUUAGCCAGUUGGUGGGGUAAUGGCCUACCAAAGCGACGAUCGGUAGCUGGUCUGAGAGGAUGAUCAGCCACACGGGGACUGAGACAC
rnacentral:rRNA from 1 species